rnacentral:rRNA from 1 species
GUGAGUAACACGUAGGUAAUCUGCCGUAGAGUGGGGGAUAACCCAUGGAAACAUGGACUAAUACCGCAUAUACUCUUGACGCUYAAGCGUAGUAGAGGAAAGGAGCAAUCCGCUUUAUGAUGAGCCUGCGGCCUAUUAGCCUGUUGGUGAGAUAAAAGCCCACCAAAGCUACGAUAGGUAGCCGACCUGAGAGGGUGACCGGCCACAUUGGGACUGAGAUACGGCCCAGACUCCUACGGGAGGCAGCAGCUGAGAAUCUUCCACAAUGGACGAAAGUCUGAUGGAGCGACAUCGCGUGAGGGAUGAAGGCCUUCGGGUUGUAAACCUUGGAAAUUAUCGAAGAAUGAGUGACAGUAGAUAAUGUAAGCCUCGGCUAACUACGUGCCAGCAGCCGCGGUAAUACGUAGGAGGCAAACGUUGCUCGGAUUUACUGGGCGUAAAGGGUGAGUAGGCGGAACUAUAAGUCUAAGGUGAAAUAUCGAAGCUCAACUUCGGAAACGCCUUGGAUACUGUGGUU